GCCCUUAUAGUUAAAUGGAUAUAACAGCUCCGUCCUAAGGAGUAGUUGUCGGUUCGAUUCCGGCUAAGGGCA
rnacentral:tRNA from 2 species